CUUAAUGGUAUACUUCGUUAUUGAUGAUUAAAAUUGUCCAAGAUGUCUGUGGCUUAAAGGUUAGAUGGGCUGAAGUCUCAGGGGCCUCCCGUGGUCCAGACCGCACACCCAAGACCCGAGAGGCAGCUUCAAAUCUCAGUGGUGGAAACAGGCCCAGGCCGAUGGCGGGGGUCAGAGCAAAAACUGUUGGAACCCGACGGACUCUAGGACCCGGGGACGGGGAACGAAUAGCAAAGGGGGACUGGAGGGGACAACCCCAGGGAGGUGAUGUUUACAACGGCCACUUCCGGAGACUUGACUUCUCUCAGAGACCGUCUCAGACUUGCGCCCGCCUCCCG